rnacentral:rRNA from 1 species
UACGUAGGGUGCAAGCGUUGUCCGGAAUCAUUGGGCGUAAAGCGCGCGUAGGUGGCUUCGUAAGUCCGUUGUGAAAGUCAAAGGCUCAACCUUUGAAUGCCGAUGGAUACUGCGAAGCUAGAGUACGGAAGAGGCGAGUGGAAUUCCUGGUGUAGCGGUGGAAUGCGCAGAUAGUCAGGAGGAACACCAAUAGCGAAGGCAGCUCGCUGGGACGUUAACUGACACUAAGGCGCGAAAGCGUGGGGAGCGAACGAGG